GACGAACCGUCCAAACGUUGUUCGGAAUCACUGGGCUUAAAGGGCGCGUAGGCGGGUUCCCAAGUCGGUGGUGAAAUCUUUCGGCCCAACCGGAAAACAGCCGCCGAUACUGGGAGUCUCGAGGGAGGUAGGGGUCGAUGGAACUUCAGGUGGAGCGGUGAAAUGCGUAGAUAUCUGAAGGAACGCCGGUGGCGAAAGCGAUCGACUGGACCUUUUCUGACGCUGAGGCGCGAAAGCCAGGGGAGCAAACGGG
rnacentral:rRNA from 1 species